GAUCCUGACUCAGGAUGAACGCUGGCGGCAUGCCUAAGACAUGCAAGUCGAACGAGGUGGCCCAGUGAAGGUUGAGUGCUUGCACAAGACUGAAUCUGGAUUCCCAUCUAGUGGCAGACGGGUGAGUAACACGUGGGUGACCUACCUUUUCGUUGGGGAUAACAGUUGGAAACGAUUGCUAAUACCGAAUAAAAUGUAAGAGUCAAUUUUACAUUGAAAGGAGCCUUUAAAGCUUCGCGAUUAGA
rnacentral:rRNA from 1 species